ACGAGUUCCCGCCAAAAUACAAUCUAAUCGCAUUGGCUGAUACGAAGUGACAAUUUUUCACCCGCCUACGUCACACGACGAGAGGGAUGGCUUUGUAAGACACGGAGGGGAUAACACCCCUUUUCAAAUAGUAUGUUUCGCGAUCAAGAGGACAGCUCAGCCACAGCAACUACGGUGGAAUUUUGGACUUCGUACUCUUCGUAUACUCCUGCAGUGUCAUGACCCGAUCUUCAUCAAGUUGGACUUGCUGAGUUCACUGACUGAUGUGAAUGAGCAUAAUCAGCGAGUAGCAAUGAAUGAACAGCGACAUGAGCGGGUAGAAAGGACCCACCUUCUGAAAGCUGUCACCAAUCAGCGGAUUCUUACAGACUUUUACUUGUACGAGAAUUUUCGAUGAUGUGUAUCGUGUUAACCUAGAAACAGAAUACAUAACAGUAGUUCAUUCCGAGAAAAAUUGCUUUAGGAAAACAAUUAAUAAGAAAAAAUACAGUGUUUCAAGAAAUUUACUAAAGUUUCUUAGCAACUAC